rnacentral:rRNA from 1 species
GAUGAACGCUGGCGGCGUGCCUAAUACAUGCAAGUCGAGCGAAGCGGGGACGGGUGAGUAACACGUGGAUAACCUCCUAUAAGACUGGGAUAACUUCGGGAAACCGGAGCUAAACGGGAAACUAAAAGUUGGAUCCGGGCUGAAUUAGCUAGUUGGUAGGGUAACGGCUUACAAAGGCAAGGAUGAAUAGCCGACCUGAGAGGGUGAUCGGCCACACUGGAACUGAGACACGGUCCAGACUCCUACGGGAGGCAGCAGUAGGGAAUCUUCCGCAAUGGGCGAAAGCCUGACGGAGCAACGCCGCGUGAGUGAUGAAGGUCUUCGGAUCGUAAAACUCUGUUAUUAGGGAAGCGGUACCUAAUCAGAAAGCCACGGCUAACUACGUGCCAGCCGCCGCGGUAAUAC